rnacentral:rRNA from 1 species
ACGCUCGACACCUACGGGGGGCAGCAGUGGGGAAUAUUGCACAAUGGGGGAAACCCUGAUGCAGCGACGCCGCGUGGAGGAAGAAGGUCUUCGGAUUGUAAACUCCUGUUGUUGGGGAAAAAGAGGAUGGUACCCAACAAGGAAGUGACGGCUAACUACGUGCCAGNGCGCGGAGUAUGNGNGGCGNGNGAGAG